CUGCUCCUCCUACCCAUGCUUUGUGGUGGGUGUACAACUGUUGCAAGUAGGUGGCACAGCUGUUUGCGUUGACUGGCUCAGUACCUUUGGGAUACAGACAACACAGUUAACGUUGCAAGAUGAAAAUGGCAUCUAUUCUUUAAUAAACACAUUCUAUUUCUUUGUGAGAGAAAAGGAGGAUAUGGGGGGGGAGUGACUUGCCAGCUUGACUAUAUCCGUAUUAGUGGCACUGUUCAAAUCACACAGUGGUGGCUAAUGCUUGCAAAAUCCUGACUAGCAUUUGAAAGGGUAACAUCAGUUUAUUAUUGCUGCAGUAGCUGUUAACUUUAUGAAGAUUUCCUGUGCACCUGCCUGCUACCACAUCUUUAACAUAUAUGCAUAUUUAUACAACUUAGGCAACAUAUGUUUGAUGAUUUUUGUCAUUUAUAUUUACUACAGUAUGGAUAGCAAUUAAAAAAUAACCAUGUUCUCAGUGAUGAAUUGGUGAAAUUCCUGGAGAAGUAGAAGCUACAUGAAGAAUCUGAAGACAGAGAACAAGCAUGCAUAUACGGACAAGACAGAGAUAAAGUACAGCUAUCUAAGACAGAUAAGUGACGUGACCUUUGGAGCAUUUCUUCAGCGAUCCUUGAAAUCUGGCUCAUGGAAGUAUUGUCAGAAGUUGUUUCCUCUAAAUGAAACCCAAAGUGGAAGCCUGUCCAAGUGUCUGUGGACUCCUACCACCUUGGGCACUGCCCAUCUCGACCCCGGCUCUGACUGCCCUUAG
rnacentral:lncRNA from 1 species